rnacentral:rRNA from 1 species
GACGAACGCUGGCGGCGUGCUUAAUACAUGCAAGUCGAGCGAAUGGAUUAAGAGCUUGCUCUUAUGAAGUUAGCGGCGGACGGGUGAGUAACACGUGGGUAACCUGCCCAUAAGACUGGGAUAACUCCGGGAAACCGGGGCUAAUACCGGAUAACAUUUUGAACCGCAUGGUUCGAAAUUGAAAGGCGGCUUCGGCUGUCACUUAUGGAUGGACCCGCGUCGCAUUGGCUAGUUGGUGAGGUAACGGCUCACCAAGGCAACGAUGCGUAGCCGACCUGAGAGGGUGAUCGGCCACACUGGGACUGAGACACGGCCCAGACUCCUACGGGAGGCAGCAGUAGGGAAUCUUCCGCAAUGGACGAAAGUCUGACGGAGCAACGCCGCGUGAGUGAUGAAGGCUUUCGGGUCGUAAAACUCUGUUGUUAGGGAAGAACAAGUGCUAGUUGAAUAAGCUGGCACCUUGACGGUACCUAACCAGAAAGCCACGGCUAACUACGUGCCAGCCGCCGCAGUAA